rnacentral:rRNA from 1 species
GUGGGGAAUAUUGGGCAAUGGGGGAAACCCUGACCCAGCAACGCCGCGUGAAGGAAGACGGUUUUCGGAUUGUAAACUUCUUUUAUCGGGGACGAAAAAAAUGACGGUACCCGAAGAAAAAGCCACGGCUAACUACGUGCCAGCAGCCGCGGUAAUACGUAGGUGGCAAGCGUUGUCCGGAUUUACUGGGUGUAAAGGGCGUGUAGGCGGGACUGCAAGUCAGAUGUGAAAUACCAAGGCUUAACCUUGGGGCUGCAUUUGAAACUGUAGUUCUUGAGUGAUGGAGAGGCAGGCGAAAUUCCUAGUGUAGCGGUGAAAUGCGUAGAUAUUAGGAGGAAGACCAGUGGCGAAGGCGGCCUGCUGGACAUUAACUGACGCUGAGGCGCGAAAGCGUGGGGAGCAAACAGGAUUAGAAACCCUUGUAGUCC